UCGGACGUGGUGUAGUGCAACACGGUCUCUCUUCCUACAGGCUGGUACCAGUAUGUGAGUAUAAUGAAGCAAAUCCGGGUUCGACUCCCGGCGUCCGAA